AGAGUGUUCGUUUCCGGCAUUGUGUUGGCUCUUUCCGGGAUUACACAUGUUGCUUUGUGGGCGUAGGGAGUUAGAGUGCCGCUUUAUCCUUGUUUUAAUAGUAAGGGCUAAGCGGUAGCAUCAAAAAAUCAGGUUAGGUUCUGUGACUUUAAGGCAUAAGUCCCCUACUUCAGUGGUUAAGAUUGGUUUGGUAUUUCAGAGAUGAAUAACUAGUCAUGAUGGAGAAGAGGAGGAGAGAAUAAAGUGCCAGCAUCUGCGGUUAAACUUUGUCUCCGAGUUAACAUAAGUUCGUGGUGAGGCAUCAGAGAAAACAAAGGUUUUAUUCUUAUUUAGUUCGGUGAAAUGAUUAAAGCGAGAUUAUUUAAGGGCCUUAACUCUGUUUGUUUAUGAGGCUGUAUGUUAGACGGGGAUUAGACACCCCCUUAUUAAUGUUGUAUUAUGAAUCCAUGGGUAGUACGGGCGGUUGUUUAAAAUCUAAGGAAAUUGGCGGUGACUUUAUAUCAUGUGAGGGGAACUUGGCGGUUAAUCCGAUAGUCCUCGUGGACCUUACCUUCUGUUUUCUUAGCCUACCGCCGUUGUCAGUAAUUUUUUUGUUAAGAUAGAGGAUUGCUAGGAGUAUCAAGCUGAAAGGUUGAUCUACUCGAAUUCAGGUAAGGGUGCUGGUUAUCAGAAGGGCUUAGCUGAGUUACAAUUAUGUAAUAAGACGGAAGUAGGUCUGAAAUAGUCCUAUGGAAGGUGUACUUCAUAGUAAUCUUUUAUAGUGAGGAAGGAUGAAUCGGCUCUGGGUUGUGUACAAAUCGCCCGGCACCCCUGUAUAGUCAAGUCUGGGUAAGUCGUAACAGAGUAAUACUACCGUAAGGUGGCUUUAUAGAAC
rnacentral:ncRNA from 1 species